UGGGGGAUAUUGCACAAUGGGCGAAAGCCUGAUGCAGCGACGCCGCGUGGGGGAUGAAGGCUUUCGGGUUGUAAACCUCUUUCGCUAUCGAACAAGGCCCGCUUAGGGUGGGUUGAGGGUAGGUGGAGAAGAAGCGCCGGCUAACUACGUGCCAGCAGCCGCGGUAAUACGUAGGGCGCGAGCGUUGUCCGGAAUUAUUGGGCGUAAAGGGCUUGUAGGCGGCUUGUUGCGCCUGCUGUGAAAACGCGGGGCUUAACUUCGCGCGUGCAGUGGGUACGGGCAGGCUUGAGUGUGGUAGGGGUGACUGGAAUUCCAGGUGUAGCGGUGGAAUGCGCAGAUCUCUGGAGGAACACCGAUGGCGAAGGCAGGUCACUGGGCCAUUACUGACGCUGAGGAGCGAAAGCAUGGGUAGCGAACAGG
rnacentral:rRNA from 1 species